GACGAACGCUGGCGGCGUGCUUAACACAUGCAAGUCGAACGGAAAGGCCCUGCUUUUGUGGGGUGCUCGAGUGGCGAACGGGUGAGUAACACGUGAGUAACCUGCCCUUGACUUUGGGAUAACUUCAGGAAACUGGGGCUAAUACCGGAUAGGAGCUCCUGCUGCAUGGUGGGGGUUGGAAAGUUUCGGCGGUUGGGGAUGGACUCGCGGCUUAUCAGCUUGUUGGUGGGGUAGUGGCUUACCAAGGCUUUGACGGGUAGCCGGCCUGAGAGGGUGACCGGCCACAUUGGGACUGAGAUACGGCCCAGACUCCUACGGGAGGCAGCAGUGGGGAAUAUUGCACAAUGGGCGGAAGCCUGAUGCAGCAACGCCGCGUGCGGGAUGACGGCCUUCGGGUUGUAAACCGCUUUCGCCUGUGACGAAGCGUGAGUGACGGUAAUGGGUAAAGAAGCACCGGCUAACUACGUGCCAGCAGCCGCGGUGAUACGUAGGGUGCGAGCGUUGUCCGGAUUUAUUGGGCGUAAAGGGCUCGUAGGUGGUUGAUCGCGUCGGAAGUGUAAUCUUGGGGCUUAACCCUGAGCGUGCUUUCGAUACAGGUUGACUUGAGGAAGGUAGGGGAGAAUGGAAUUCCUGGUGGAGCGGUGGAAUGCGCAGAUAUCAGGAGGAACACCAGUGGCGAAGGCGGUUCUCUGGGCCUUUCCUGACGCUGAGGAGCGAAAGCGUGGGGAGCGAACAGGCUUAGAUACCCUGGUAGUCCACGCUGUAAACGGUGGGUACUAGGUGUGGGGUCCAUUCCACGGGUUCCGUGCCGUAGCUAACGCUUUAAGUACCCCGCCUGGGGAGUACGGCCGCAAGGCUAAAACUCAAAGGAAUUGACGGGGCCCCGCACAAGCGGCGGAGCAUGCGGAUUAAUUCGAUGCAACGCGUAGAACCUUACCUGGGUUUGACAUGGAUCGGGAGUGCUCAGAGAUGGGUGUGCCUCUUUUGGGGUCGGUUCACAGGUGGUGCAUGGCUGUCGUCAGCUCGUGUCGUGAGAUGUUGGGUUAAGUCCCGCAACGAGCGCAACCCUUGUUCACUGUUGCCAGCACGUUAUGGUGGGGACUCAGUGGGGACCGCCGGGGUCAACUCGGAGGAAGGUGGGGAUGACGUCAAGUCAUCAUGCCCCUUAUGUCCAGGGCUUCACGCAUGCUACAAUGGCUGGUACAGAGAGUGGCGAGCCUGUGAGGGUGAGCGAAUCUCGGAAAGCCGGUCUCAGUUCGGAUUGGGGUCUGCAACUCGACCUCAUGAAGUCGGUGUCGCUAGUAAUCGCAGAUCAGCAACGCUGCGGUGAAUACGUUCCCGGGGCUUGUACACACCGCCCGUCAAGUCAUGAAAGUUGGUAACACCCGAAGCCGGUGGCCUAACCGUUGUGGGGGAGCCGUCGAAGGUGGGACUGGUGAUUAGGACUAAGUCGUAACAAGGUAGCCGUACCGGAAGG
rnacentral:rRNA from 1 species